ensembl:lncRNA
UGCAUGGUCACACCAAAAGAUUGUAGAGGAUAAAGUAUAAUAGCUCUUUAACUUGUUAGUUCAGACACGCCCCCUAGCGGGAGCAUCGGCGCAACCGGGCUGAUAACAUCUUAAUUACGUGCAUGUAGCCACAAAAAUAAAAAACAUUUUACCAUAAACAGACUUUUUUUCUGAAAAAGCACUAAAACUGCCACAGGCACACGUAAUAUCAAAUGCCUGUGUUCAACAGUUCAUUAGAAACGACCAAAAGAAAAACGUGGUGUGCCCCCUGCUGUGCCCCACCCCCUGACGCCUCCUCAAACUAAUCGUCCAUUUAAACAUGCUAUCUUUGCCAAAAUGUCUUGUUAUCUGCCAUGAAAAAAUCGUUAUCUAUCCAAACAACUAAAUGAUGACACUGAAUAGUUUACCUGAGGAUAUUAUUGUGGUUUAUUUAUGUACUCACAUCACAGCACAAAACAUGCCUCCAUUUUCCCAUAUCAUAUGAUCUCAAUCUUCUCGAGCUCCUCGUGGCCAUGACAAAUAUAUAUUUUUUUAAAACAUACCUGAAUAAUCAAAGCCAUAUAUCUCUUCUACGAAACUGUGUAGUUUUUAUUGGCCACAGUACAUUUUAUUCCUUGUUCUACCGUAAUUUUCAUGUCUAGUGCCCACAAACCAACCACUUCCUGUAACAGAUGACCGCAUUCAAAAUGCCUGUUUCUCCAAUCCAGUUACUACAAACUGAUUGACACAUAUUCUAUCCAAUAGUACUCAUUCUCAUGUUUACAAUGGUAUGCCCAUUGCCUGUCUUUGAAUAAUAUUACGGUGUGAUUGGUCCACGCGUAACCGAAGGUUCUCUGGUGCGCUUUCCAUGCGCCAGAGAAGUCAUUCCGAGCACAGGCUUUGCGCAUUCAACACAAAACGUGGAGUUUGCCCAUGGACACAAUUGGAACAGCUGGAUUGUGUCCUAGACAUGACAUAGAGAUGUCCCUGCAGGAGAUGCAUCUGUCCGCUCCCCACUCAUUUCAUCUCAUCUGAACAGAUCUCAUCUCAUCAGAACAGAACUCAUCUCAUCUUAUCCCUCCACACCCACACCCCACUACACCACCACACACCUCCACACCACCUCCACACACCACUACACACCUCCACACACCACUACACCACCUCCACACGCCUCCACACACCACUACAACACCUCCACACGCCUCCACACCCCACUACACCACCUCCACACACCACUACACCACCUCCACACCCCACUACACCACCUCCACACACCACUACACACCUCCACACACCACUACACCACCUCCACACACCUCCACACACCACUACACCACCUCCACACACCCCACUACAACACCUCCACACGCCUCCACACACCACUACACCACCUCCACACACCACUACACCACCUCCACACCCCACUACACACCUCCACACACCACUACACCACCUCCUCACCCCACCACACACCACCUCCACACCCCACUACACCACCUCCACACGCCUCCACACCACCUCCACACACCACUACACCACCUCCACACACCACUACACACCUCCACACACCCCUACACCACCUCCACACCCCACUACACCACCUCCACACCCCACUACACCACCUCCACACGCCUCCACACACCACUACACACCUCCACACACCUCCACACACCACUACACCACCUCCACACCCCACUACAACACCUCCACACACCACUACACCACCUCCACACACCACUACACACCUCCACACACCACUACACCACCUCCACACCCCACCACACACCACUACACCACCUCCACACCCCACCACACACCUCCACACACCACUACACCACCUCCACACACCACUACACACCUCCACACACCACUACACACCUCCACACACCCCUACACCACCUCCACACCCCACUACAACACCUCCACACACCACUACACCACCUCCACACGCCUCCACACACCACUACAGCACCUCCACACACCACUACACACCUCCACACACCACUACACCACCACCACUACACACCUCCACACACCACUACACACCCCUACACCCCACCACACACCUCCACACCACCUCCACACCCCACCACACACCUCCACAAAACAUACAUGAUGUACUUUUGGGUACAAAACCACGAAACAUACAUGAUG